rnacentral:tRNA from 1 species
GCCUGGUUGGCUCAGCUGGUUAAGCAUCCGACUUUGGCUCAGGUUAUGGUCUCACAGCUCGUGGGUUUGAACCCCACGUCAGGCU